UGAAUUAUAUUAACACAAAUUAAGUUAAUGAGAAAAUUAAUUUAAUUUUUAAUUUUU
rnacentral:tRNA from 1 species